CACUGCCUAGAAACCUUAACCAUGGAUGUGGAUCCUGCUGGGCAGGGUGCUCUCUGAAUGGUGGAAAAAAAGGUGAACUUGCCCAACAAGCAAAUACAAGAAGGGGGGAGUUGGUGAGCAGCUGGGUGCGGGGGCUGAGUUGCUGCCUGGGGUUGAACCACAACACUUAAGUCCUGAACAAGCAUGGCUGAUGGACUUCACAUUUAUAGACCUUCCUUUUAGAAGAUCGGGGUAAAUCUACCCUAUCAUCUGCAACUACAUGUACAAAGAAGAAGCUAGAGGGAGUGAAUUCUUACUGGUAUGAUGAACUGUGGUGUAGUCGCUGAUGAGCAAGUGACAGACUGUCAGUGUGCACCCACCUGCCAGCCCCAAAGCCACCUGCAGUCUCCGGGUGUUGGGCCACCGUCAGCUCCAGCACAGAAGAAACCUCGGAAAGAUUUCCGUCAGAACCGGUGUCCCCAUGCACAAAAGCAGCUGAGAGAUGUUUCUUCAUUCAGUGAAUUCACCAGCUGAAAAACAGCAGAGUCCAGAGUUGGGACAGGAAUAAAGCAUGCAAGUGAUGAAUCUUCAAAGGAAAAAAGGUCAUUUUUCUUCCUUGCGAAGUCUCCCAAGUUAAUCAGCUGGAUCCCUUUAAGGAAUCUUGGAGUGUUUGCCAUUGACCAGCAGCGAGUUGGCAUUGACAGCAAAGGACUGAUUGACUGAAAGAGAAGCAAGCAGAUGAGUCAAGGGAAUUAACUUAAAUGUAGACUGCUAAUGAAAGGGACAAGCGCUUUCCUCCUCCCCAUAGAUCUUCCUUGAAGCAUCUCCAGGGACAACUUCCAAAGCAGCAAAAACUGAAACAGCAUAAUUAAGAGUGAUUUUUGUAGAAAUCAUUAAUAUGCACAAAGAAACUCUGCAAAAUUCUUAUUGUAAGGCUGUUGAUUCUAAGGCAGUAAAUUAUAGUUGUGGAGAUGCAUAUAUUUGCCUUUGCUCAAGCUUCAUAAGUAACAUGAAGCAUUAGGAAUAAUUUCAUAGUUGUUACAUUUGAAAUUUCAUUAUAGUUCUGAUUUUGUUCCUUUCUAAAAUGUAUCCAAAACCUUUACAUAUACCAGCUUUCGGCAUUAGUUUUGAAGGAUUAAGUCUUACUCUGAUCAGAUUUGAAAUAAAAUAGGUAAAGGCUUUCUGAGCUCCUGAUAAAUCCCAUCAUAAUUAAAAAAGGAAAAUUUAUUUUAAGCCUAGAUUGAAGGAUUUCUUGAGGAUGAUACUGCUGCAGUUUACUAUCCACUACAAUUGCAAUUAAUAAUGUAAUUACAACCAAAAUGGAUCUGAAGUAGGAAUAUUGACAACAAAUAGUGACUCUGAAAAGCAUUGCAUGUUACGGCAAAACUUGUUGGCAUAUGACAAUAUCAAAGACUUUUGUCUCUCACUUUUGACAUUGUUUGACCAGAUCUGGGAGAUGCAAGGCCAAGAGGUUAAAAAAAAUGCCCUUAUUUUAUAGAAAAUAAAGUAACCAAGUGACUUUACAGUCCAUGUCAGGGCUGCCAACUCCAGCAAUGAACCAAAUUUAGAAGCUGUUACAUGAAGAGUCUGCAGGAAAUUAAAUUUAAAUGGUUUCCAUGAAUAAAUAUCUUCUAAACUAGGUAUAUAUAUAGUUUGCUGAAUUGUAUUUAUGAUACCUUUGCCCUGACUUUCUUGUGUUCUACAGAAGUAGUGUUUUUUAAGGAAGGUUUCUAUUCAGUGAUUAUUACGAGCCCUUGACUGUGAAGAACACAAAUUGCAAGGUCCAAGUGUGUCUGUGGAAAUCGUGAUUGAUAGACAAGGGAAUAAACUUGGGCCUCCACCCUCAGUUAGGGAUAACAGCUGAAGUCUUGAAUCAUGAAUGGUUUUCUUUUGGAUAGAGGACGGGUACAAUAUGUCAAGAGGAACAGCUAGCUGCUUUUCCUUGAUUUUUUAAUGGAUGUUUGCCAUGCCUAUGUGUUUGAAUGUAGCUGGUGGAUUUCAGUGAAUUAUUAAAGACUUGACCAAGUACUGAAUUCAACAGAAAAGAUAAUUUGUGUUAGUAAGGAAUCACAAAAUAAAAAAUAUAUACACGUGUGACCACAAAAGUCAAGAGCAAUGGAAAACUGUUCCUUUAGAUAAAGGUGAGGCCAGGUAAGAGAGAACUAGAGAAAACAAAGUCUCAAGCAAAACAGCACCUUCAUCAGUAGAAAGUGGAGCUGUAUUGGCUGUCGGAAGAGUAAGAAAACAAUAUUAGAAGAGAAAAUGGCAUGGCCUUUUCCUGUUCCUCUUAGUCAUGGUUCAGCUGGGUAUCUUUCUGAAUUUGUAUUGGCAUUACCUUGGGACAGCUACGAGUUACUGUAAAUUAGAGGUGAUAUUUAAUUGCUGGUAAAUUUGCCACAAAAUAUGAAACGAAAUCUAAUUCUCAAGUUCUCUUUGUAAUCCACAUUUAUUUUUCUUCGAAGGAAACAC